GUAGGCUGCAACUCGCCUACAUGAAGUUGGAAUCGCUAGUAAUCGCGAAUCAGAAUGUCGCGGUGAAUACGUUCCCGGGUCUUGUACACACCGCCCGUCACACCACGAGAGUUUACAACACCCGAAGUCAGUGGCCUAACCGCAAGGAGGGAGCUGCCUAAGGUGGGGGUAGAUGAUUGGGGUGAAGUCGUAACAAGGUAUC
rnacentral:rRNA from 1 species